rnacentral:rRNA from 1 species
AACCGGAGGAAGGUGGGGAUGACGUCAAGUCAGCAUGCCCCUUACGCCUUGGGCUACACACGUACUACAAUGCCCCGGACAAAGGGAGGCUACACAGCGAUGUGAUGCAAAUCUCGUAAACCGGAGCUCAGUUCAGAUCGAAGGCUGCAACUCGCCUUCGUGAAGGAAGGAAUCGCUAGUAAUUGCAGGUCAGCAUACUGCAGUGAAUUCGUUCCCGGGCAUUGUACACACCGCCCGUCACACCAUGGAAGUUGGUCACGCCCGAAGUCAUUACCCCAACC